rnacentral:rRNA from 1 species
CCCUUCGGGGUGUGACUGCGUACCUUUUGUAUAAUGGGUCAGCGACUUAUAUUCUGUAGCAAGGUUAACCGUAUAGGGGAGCCGGAGGGAAACCGAGUCUUAAUUGGGCGUUAAGUUGCAGGGUAUAGACCCGAAACCCGGUGAUCUAGCCAUGGGCAGGUUGAAGGUUGGGUAACACUAACUGGAGGACCGAACCGACUAAUGUUGAAAAAUUAGCGGAUGACCUGUGGCUGGGGGUGAAAGGCCAAUCAAACCGGGAGAUAGCUGGUUCUCCCCGAAAGCUAUUUAGGUAGCGCCUCGUGAAUUCAUCUCCGGGGGUAGAGCACUGUUUCGGCUAGGGGGCCAUCCCGGCUUACCAACCCGAUGCAAACUGCGAAUACCGGAGAAUGUUAUCACGGGAGACACACGGCGGGUGCUAACGUCCGUCGUGAAGAGGGAAACAACCCAGACCGCCAGCUAAGGUCCCAAAGUCAUGGUUAAGUGGGAAACGAUGUGGGAAGGCCCAGACAGCCAGGAUGUUGGCUUAGAAGCAGCCAUCAUUUAAAGAAAGCGUAAUAGCUCACUGGUCGAGUCGGCCUGCGCGGAAGAUGUAACGGGGCUAAACCAUGCACCGAAGCUGCGGCAGCGAACGUAUCACCCAAGACAACUUUACGGAGUUGACGAUUGACGGAGCGAAGCGACGUCAAAGCGUUCAUUAAAGUCGAGUUGGCUUAGGGAUACGUUCGUUGGGUAGGGGAGCGUUCUGUAAGCCUGUGAAGGUGUGUCGUGAGGCAUGCUGGAGGUAUCAGAAGUGCGAAUGCUGACAUAAGUAACGAUAAAGCGGGUGAAAAGCCCGCUCGCCGGAAGACCAAGGGUUCCUGUCCAACGUUAAUCGGGGCAGGGUGAGUCGACCCCUAAGGCGAGGCCGAAAGGCGUAGUCGAUGGGAAACGGGUUAAUAUUCCCGUACUUGGUGUUACUGCGAAGGGGGGACGGAGAAGGCUAUGUUGGCCGGGCGACGGUUGUCCCGGUUUAAGCGUGUAGGUGUGUGUUCCAGGUAAAUCCGGUUCACUUUAACACUGAGGCGUGACGACGAGGCACUACGGUGCUGAAGCAACAAA